rnacentral:rRNA from 1 species
GGGGUAACGGAUUUGCUUAUUGCACCACAUGUGUUUUUCUUUGAAACAAACUUGCUUUGGCGGUGGGCCCAGCCUGCCGCCAGAGGUCUAAACUUACAACCAAUUUUUUAUCAACUUGUCACACCAGAUUAUUACUAAUAGUCAAAACUUUCAACAACGGAUCUCUUGGUUCUCGCAUCGAUGAAGAACGCAGCGAAAUGCGAUACGUAAUAUGAAUUGCAGAUAUUCGUGAAUCAUCGAAUCUUUGAACGCACAUUGCGCCCUCUGGUAUUCCGGAGGGCAUGCCUGUUUGAGCGUCGUUUCUCCCUCAAACCGCUGGGUUUGGUGUUGAGCAAUACGACUUGGGUUUGCUUGAAAGACGGUAGUGGUAAGGCGGGAUCGCUUUGACAAUGGCUUAGGUCUAACCAAAAACAUUGCUUGCGGCGGUAACGUCCACCACGUAUAUCUUCAAACUUUGACCUCAAAUCAGGUAGGACUACCCGCUGAACUUAAGCAUAUCAAUAAGCGGGAGGAA